AGUGAACGCUGGCGGUAGGCCUAACACAUGCAAGUCGAACGGCAGCACAGUAAGAGCUUGCUCUUACGGGUGGCGAGUGGCGGACGGGUGAGGAAUACAUCGGAAUCUACUUUUUGUGGGGGAUAACGUAGGGAAACUUACGCUAAUACCGCAUACGACCUACGGGUGAAAGCAGGGGAUCUUCGGACCUUGCGCGAUUGAAUGAGCCGAUGUCGGAUUAGCUAGUUGGCGGGGUAAAGGCCCACCAAGGCGACGAUCCGUAGCUGGUCUGAGAGGAUGAUCAGCCACACUGGAACUGAGACACGGUCAAGACUCCUACGGGAGGCAGCAGUGGGGAAUAUUGGACAAUGGGCGCAAGCCUGAUCCAGCCAUACCGCGUGGGUGAAGAAGGCCUUCGGGUUGUAAAGCCCUUUUGUUGGGAAAGAAAAGCAGCAGGUUAAUACCCCGCUGUUCUGACGGUACCCAAAGAAUAAGCACCGGCUAACUUCGUG
rnacentral:rRNA from 1 species